AUGUCUGUCAGAGACAUGUGAGAGUUACUCCUACUCAGAAACAAGAACGAGUGUGUUUCAUGGGACAGAAAAUAUGAUUUAUUAAGGCGGCUUCCUAACACGACCAGAUUAACAGUCAGGCACCAAAGAAAUACAGUUCCUAUAGAUCUCUAGUGUGGGGUGAAUCCUCAAAUGAGAUUUGUCAUCACAAAGUCAAGAUCCUGAUGCCACCAACAUCAAAUGUGUUUCCACGUCAAUGUUGAUUAAAAGCUCUGUUCCUUCUAAAAUGGCGGCCAUAAUGCACCCUGGCAUCCUCCCAAGUGUACUCUCCAGUGCAGACAUCAUAAGUGCCCCCAUAGGUAAAGGUGAAUGCCUUCCAAGUAUGAAUAUACUAUGCUAUUCAUCUAGAGCCUGGAUCAUUGAAAUAUAGAUGGAAAAACGUGCUAAGAUAUUAAUUGAGUAUCUUACUAAGCAGGUAAGAUAAUACUAAUUCAAAGUGGAUGGAGCAUACUUAGUCACCUAGAGCUAAGCAUAUUUUAUAUAAUUCCAAUAAUCCAUGUGCCUAUUGUCAUGUU
rnacentral:lncRNA from 1 species